CGAUGGGAGCUUGCUCCCAGGCGUCGAGUGGCGGACGGGUGAGUAAUACAUAGGAAUCUACCCAGUAGCGGGGGACAACCUGGUGAAAACCAGGCUAAUACCGCAUACGACCUACGGAUGAAAGCAGGGGAUCUUCGGACCUUGCACUAUUGGAUGAGCCUAUGUCAGAUUAGCUUGUUGGUGGGGUAAAGGCCUACCAAGGCGACGAUCUGUAGCUGGUCUGAGAGGACGAUCAGCCACACUGGGACUGAGACACGGCCCAGACUCCUACGGGAGGCAGCAGUGGGGAAUAUUGCACAAUGGGCGCAAGCCUGAUGCAGCAAUGCCGCGUGUGUGAAGAAGGCCUGCGGGUUGUAAAGCACUUUCAGUGGGGAGGAAAACGUAACGGUUAAUAACCGUUGCCCUGACGUUACCCACAGAAGAAGCACCGGCUAACUCUGUGCCAGCAGCCGCGGUAAUACAGAGGGUGCGAGCGUUAAUCGGAAUUACUGGGCGUAAAGCGCGCGUAGGCGGCUUGGUCAGUCGGAUGUGAAAGCCCCGGGCUUAACCUGGGAAUUGCAUUCGAUACUGCCAGGCUAGAAUGUAGUAGA
rnacentral:rRNA from 1 species